GCGCGCAUGGUUAAGUGGUAUAAUGGCCGCCUGCCACGCGGCCGGCCGGGGUUCGAUUCCCCGUGCGCGCA